GUCAUAGGCCCUGGGUUGGAGAAGUCAAAACAAAGGUCACCAUGUUGUUCUGAGCCUAAGGGGUCUUUGUGAGAUCUUGCACUACAAACUGCAGCCAAGGGGAUCCCGAAUGGGCAAGACUUGAUCCUCAUACUGGUGAAACCUCCUGAGUCCCCAGGGACCCUGUCAGACCAGGCUCCAGCCUCCCUGCGGUCUCUGAGAGAGAAUGUGGCUAGUUCUGCCCCACGGCUCCCUGGCAGUCCAGCGGUCAGAAGUGGCCACGCAGAACCCAACAUUCAGCCUGGGUGCAGACACUGCCUCUAGCCUCCUCCCCAAGCACUCUCCUAGUAUGGCAAAACAGCCCUUGAGAGAUUGCAGAAAGCCAUCAACCUUGAAGAUAACAGGAGCCCUCCCAAGGAAAUGUGUUCAGGAGACCUUCUAAGACCAUGCCAUUUCCUGGGUCCCUCUCCCAGUGGGGAAAUUCUCCCAGUAGCAGAUUCUGGCAGACAGCAGAGACACACUCUAUGCCCAACACUAGGCACCGGAUGGAUGAGAUAAUCAUAAAUCCACAAACUGCAACAAGAUAAAAUUAUCAUUAGAUGAAGUUAAAUUAUUAAUUAGCACCUCCAAAAAAAGACCGGCACCACCUGGGCUUGAAUCUUGGAAGCUGUCUUUCUGAAAGCAAGAGAAACAUCAAAAUAGUUUAUCGAUGCUCUGUGGUGUGGGUAUAGCCUAUGGUUCCCAGAAGCCUGAUGGUCAGAGGUCCCACCAGGCAGGCCUGCCCCGCCUGCCCUCUUCUUGCAGUGUUGCCAGAAAUAGCCAGUUUGGAUAAUGUUACUAGGGAAAGGGAAGCAACUAAUGUGACCCAUUUUUAUGACUGGAGAAACUGAGGCAAAGGACGAGGCAGAAAGGCCACAGAAGAUGGCUCAGGGUGGGCUGAAGAAUUUGUGUACUGGGUUGGGAAGGGGUAGGUCCUCAGAUUGCCUGAUUAUCUAAGGACUAAGGAACAC